UAUUUGUUGGUGUAAAGAGCACAUAAAGUUUUGAUCUUUAAAGGGGCGGUGUAAAUCCGUUACAGAUAA
rnacentral:tRNA from 1 species